AAACUAACAAGGAUUCCCCUAGUAGCGGCGAGUGAAGCGGGAAGAGCUCAAAUUUGUAAUCUGGCGUCUUUCAGGCGUCCGAGUUGUAAUCUAUAGAAGUGUUUUCCGUGCUGGACCAUGUCCAAGUCCCUUGGAACAGGGUAUCAAAGAGGGUGACAAUCCCGUACUUGAUAUGGCCACCAGUGCUCUGUGAUACACUUUCUACGAGUCGAGUUGUUUGGGAAUGCAGCUCAAAAUGGGUGGUAAAUUCCAUCUAAAGCUAAAUAUUGGCGAGAGACCGAUAGCGAACAAGUACCGUGAGGGAAAGAUGAAAAGCACUUUGGAAAGAGAGUUAAACAGUACGUGAAAUUGUUGAAAGGGAAACGAUUGAAGUCAGUCGUGUUCAUUGGACUCAGCCGGUUCUUCCGGUCUAUUUCCUUUGAACGGGUCAACAUCAGUUUUGUCCGGUGGAUAAAGGCAGAGAGAAAGUGGCUCCCUCGGGAGUGUUAUAGCUUUUUGUCACAUACACUGGAGGAGACUGAGGACUGCAGCUCGCCUUUUGGCCGGGGUUCGCCCACGUUCGAGCUUAGGAUGUUGACAUAAUGGCUUUAAACGAC
rnacentral:rRNA from 1 species